GCUCAACCUCCUUAGCCAUAAAAGAAAUGCAAAUCAAAACAACAUUGAGAUUCCACCUCCCCCCUGUAAGAGUGGCUAUAAUAAAGAAAACUAGUAACAACAGAUAUUGCAGGGAAUGUGGCCAAUAUGGAAACCUAGUGCAUUGUUGUUGGGAGUGAAAACUUGUCCAACCACUUUGGAAAUCAGUAUGGAGGUUCCCUAAAUGACUCCAUAUAGAGCUGCCUUUUGACCCAGCAACUCGACUUUUGGGCAUUUA